GUGAAUCAUCGAAUUUUUGAACGCAAAUUGCACUCUCUUCGGAGAGUAUGACUGUUUGAGGGUCAGCCUAAAAAAAAUCGACAUCGUUGUUGUUUCGCGGAGGCGUUCGUCGGAAAUUGGGUUAGCUUAAAUCUUUGGUUUAUGCGACUGAAAAUUUUCUUUACGAUUCCAUGAACGUUUCCAAUAUUCAUUUCUUUACAUGUUUAAGGUAUCGAUGUUAUUAGGCGUGAGCGUCA
rnacentral:misc_RNA from 1 species